rnacentral:misc_RNA from 1 species
UGUAGGAGCUGCCGAAGGCUGCGAUCUUUUGAUCUUGUUUAUAAAAGCAAAAGAUCGCAGCCUUCGGCAGCUCCUACA